ACUCCUACGGGAGGCAGCAGUUAGGAAUAUUCGGCAAUGGGGGAAACCCUGACCGAGCGACACUGCGUGAAGGAGGAAGGCCUUAGGGUUGUAAACUUCUGAACGAGAGACGAUAAUGACGGUAUCUCGGUAAUAGCACCGGCUAACUCCGUGCCAGCAGCCGCGGUAAUACGGAGGGUGCGAGCGUUAUCCGGAAUCACUGGGCGUAAAGGGCGCGUAGGCGGUUACAUAAGUCCGAUGUUAAAGCGUAGGGCUCAACCCUAUAAAGGCGUUGGAUACUGUGAAACUAGACUUCUGGAGAGGUAAGUGGAAUUACCAGAGUAGCGGUGAAAUGCGUAGAUACUGGUAGGAACACCCAUAGCGAAGGCAGCUUACUGGACAGAGAGUGACGCUGAGGCGCGAAAGUGUGGGGAGCAAACCGGAUUAGAUACCCUGGUAGGAUAGCGUA
rnacentral:rRNA from 1 species